rnacentral:rRNA from 1 species
UUCGCCCUUUUCCGGUUGAUCCUGCCGGAAGCUACUGCUAUCGGGAUUCGAUUAAGCCAUGCGAGUCGAGAGGGUUCGGCCCUCGGCUGACUGCUCAGUAACACGUGGAUAACUUGCCCUCAGGUAGGGGAUAAUCUCGGGAAACUGAGGAUAAUACCCUAUAGACAUCCUUUGCUGGAACGCUUGGAUGUUCAAAGGUAACGCCUGAGGAUAGGUCUGCGGCCUAUCAGGUUGUAGUGGGUGUAAUGGACCCACUAGCCCGCGACGGGUACGGGCCUUGAAAGAGGUAGCCCGGAGAUGGACUCUGAGACACGAGUCCAGGCCCUACGGGGCGCAGCAGGCGCGAAAACUUCGCAAUGCGGGAAACCGUGACGAGGGAAUCCCGAGUGCUCAUACAAUGUAUGGGCUUUUCUUAUGUGUAAAUAGCAUGAGGAAU